CCCCUGGUAGCUCAGAGGUUAAAGCGUCUGCCUGCAAUGCAUGAGACCUGGGUUCGAUCCCUGGGUUGGGAA
rfam:TPA: Bos taurus chromosome 9, whole genome shotgun sequence.